rnacentral:rRNA from 1 species
UACUGAGUUUACGCUCUAUAACCCUUUGUGAACAUACCUAUAACUGUUGCUUCGGCGGGUAGGGUCUCCGUGACCCUCCCGGCCUCCCGCCCCCGGGCGGGUCGGCGCCCGCCGGAGGAUAACCAAACUCUGAUUUAACGACGUUUCUUCUGAGUGGUACAAGCAAAUAAUCAAAACUUUUAACAACGGAUCUCUUGGUUCUGGCAUCGAUGAAGAACGCAGCGAAAUGCGAUAAGUAAUGUGAAUUGCAGAAUUCAGUGAAUCAUCGAAUCUUUGAACGCACAUUGCGCCCGCCAGCAUUCUGGCGGGCAUGCCUGUUCGAGCGUCAUUUCAACCCUCAAGCUCUGCUUGGUGUUGGGGCCCUACAGCUGAUGUAGGCCCUCAAAGGUAGUGGCGGACCCUCCCGGAGCCUCCUUUGCGUAGUAACUUUACGUCUCGCACUGGGAUCCGGAGGGACUCUUGCCGUAAAACCCCCAAUUUUCCAAAGGUUGACCUCGGAUCAGGUAGGAAUACCCGCUGAACUUAAGCAUAUCAAUAAGCGGAGGAAAAGAAACC